rnacentral:lncRNA from 1 species
UCAUGGCUCAGUGGUUAACGAACCUGACUCGUAACCAAGACAGUUGUGGGUUCGAUCCCUGGCCUCACUCAGUGGGUUAAGGAUCCGGCGUUGCCGUGAGCUGUGGUGUAAGUCGCAGAUGUGGCUCGGAUCCCAUGUUGCUGUGACUGUGGUGUAGACCGGCGGCUAUAGCUCCAAUUAGACCCCUGGCCUGGGAACCUCCAUAUACCACAGGUGCAGCCCUAAAAAGACAAAAACAAACAAACAAAAAACCUAAAUAAAACAUGGGACUAAUGACACUACGCUCCUUCUUAGGUUUGUGAGGGUUAAUUCAUCCACAUGGAGCAUUCGGAAUAGUGCCCAGCGUAUGGUAAAUGUACCAUAAGUGUUAGUUCUUUUUCGUGUCAGGGAGGUCCCUGGUAGCCUAGCUUGGGUCACGGCUGUGGUGUGGGUUUGAUUCCUGGUCUAGGAACUUCUGCAUGUUGCAGGUUCAGCAAAAAAAAAAAAAAAAGAAGAAGAAGAAGAAGAUGUAGAAGAAGAGGGCCAGAAAGCCAGAGAAGCUGAUUGUGGGAAAAUCAGGGAGAGGCUAAACGACUGGUUAAGGGCUUGGGUUACAAGCUGUUGAGUAGGGGGUCAAUACACACCCGGUAAGAAGGUAUUUUUGGCAAAAGCAGUGGGCGGGGGGUUAGGGCACAAGGAUGCUGGUUCCAGCUCCUCCUCUAAGGAGCUCUACCACUUUGAGCAAAUCCCCUGGCUCCUCUGUCUGUCUUCUAAAUGCUACAUUGCAAAGUGACACAGACUUGGAAGAGAAGGCUGGGACUGCCUGCGUGAUGAGGGACCCAGUGAAGGGAGACACCAGAGAAGAUUCCAGGCUUUGAGCCAGGAUGGGUAAGUCGAGAAGAGGCGUGGAUUUGAAGGAAAGAGAGAUGACCUUGGUUUGGACAUCCUGAGUUCAAGGACCGUAGUCUGAAGCCCUGAGAAGGGCGGAUGCCACUGAAUCGUCAACGUGCCUCUUCUGAAUGAUCUGCCUCUGAGGUCCUGGGGCCCAGACGAUGAGCCUGAAGAACGGGAGAAAGGCUGGCAACAAGACAGGAUGGUGAAAGUAAACACUGGGACCAACGGAACUGGCAGCGUGUGGCUGCUCCUCAGCGGUACGAUACUUGAGGAGGCAACAUUCUUGGACUCAGGGCUCAGCCUUCAUUUUCCAGAUUUUGCUCUUCCACCCCUGAGCCUAAUCCUGACCAUGUCUUCUCCUUGAAAAAAAUGUCACACUAAUAAAAUUCACUGAAUUAUUAUUUAAAAAAA